rnacentral:rRNA from 1 species
CCUACGGGAGGCAGCAGUGGGGAAUAUUGCACAAUGGGGGAAACCCUGAUGCAGCGACGCCGCGUGAAGGAAGAAGUAUCUCGGUAUGUAAACUUCUAUCAGCAGGGAAGAAAAUGACGGUACCUGACUAAGAAGCCACGGCUAACUACGUGCCAGCAGCCGCGGUAAUACGUAGGGGGCCAGCGUUAUCCGGAUUUACUGGGUGUAAAGGGAGCGUAGGCGGGGAUGCAAGUCAGAAGUGAAAGCCCGGGGCUCAACUCCGGGACUGCUUUUGAAACUGUGUUGCUAGAUUGCAGGAGAGGUAGGUGGAAUUCGUGGUGUAGCGAUGAAAUGCGUAGAUAUUACGAGGAACACCGAUGGCGAAGGCAGCUUACUGGACUGUAAAUGACGCUGAGGCUCGAAAGCGUGGGGAGCAAACAGGAUUAGAUACCCUAGUAGUC